GGAAUUACUGGGCGUAAAGGCGCGCGUAGGCGGCUAAAGUAAGUUAAUUGUGAAAGCCCAAAGCUCAACUUUGGAAUUGCAAUUAAAACUAUUUAGCUAGAGUUUAUCAGAGGAAAGCGGAAUACAUAGCGUAGAGGUGAAAUUCGUAGAUAUUAUGUAGAACACCAGUUGCGAAGGCGGCUUUCUGGGAUAACACUGACACUGAGGAACGAAAGCAUGGGUAGCGAAGAGGAUUAGAUACCCUCGUAGUCCAUGCCGUAAACGAUGUGUGUUAGACGUUGGAAAUUUAUUUUCAGUGUCGCAGCGAAAGCUAUAAACACACCGCCUGGGGAGUACGACCGCAAGGUUAAAACUCAAAUGAAUUGACGGGGACCCGCACAAGUAGUGGAGCAUGUGGUUUAAUUCGAAGAUACGCGCAGAACCUUACCAACACUUGACAUGUUCGUCGCGACUCUAAGAGAUUAGAGUUUUCGGUUCGGCCGGACGAAACACAGGUGCUGCAUGGCUGUCGUCAGCUCGUGUCGUGAGAUGUUGGGUUAAGUCCCGCAACGAGCGCAACCCUCACUUUUAGUUGCCAUCAUUAAGUUGGGCACUCUGAAAGAACUGCCAGUGAUAAGCUGGAGGAAGGUGGGGAUGACGUCAAGUCCUCAUGGCCCUUACGUGUUGGGCUACACACGUGCUACAAUGGUAUCUACAACAGGAAGCAAGACUGCGAGGUCAAGCAAAUCCUUAAAAGAUACCUCAGUUCGGAUUGCACUCUGCAACUCGAGUGCAUGAAGCUGGAAUUACUAGUAAUCGUGGAUCAGCGUGCCACGGUGA
rnacentral:rRNA from 1 species